GUGCCAGCCGCCGCGGUAAUACGUAGGUGGCAAGCGUUAUCCGGAAUUAUUGGGCGUAAAGCGCGCGUAGGCGGUUUUUUAAGUCUGAUGUGAAAGCCCACGGCUCAACCGUGGAGGGUCAUUGGAAACUGGAAAACUUGAGUGCAGAAGAGGAAAGUGGAAUUCCAUGUGUAGCGGUGAAAUGCGCAGAGAUAUGGAGGAACACCAGUGGCGAAGGCGACUUUCUGGUCUGUAACUGACGCUGAGGAGCGAAAGCGUGGGGAGCGAACAGGAUUAGAUACCCUCGUAGUCC
rnacentral:rRNA from 1 species